CAGCCGCCGCGGUAAUACGGAGGGUGCAAGCGUUAAUCGGAAUUACUGGGCGUAAAGCGCACGCAGGCGGUCUGACAAGUCAGAUGUGGAAUCCCCGGGCUUAACCUGGGAACUGCAUUUGAAACUGUCAGGCUGGAGUCUUGUAGAGGGGGGUGGAAUUCCAGGUGUAGCGGUGAAAUGCGUAGAGAUCUGGAGGAAUACCGGUGGCGAAGGCGGCCCCCUGGACAAAGACUGACGCUCAGGUGCGAAAGCGUGGGGAGCAAACAGGAUUAGAUACCCGCGUAGUCCCUGUCUCUUAUAC
rnacentral:rRNA from 1 species